GGUUUACCCAUUGGUCAGGCUUAAUUGUCUGCACUGGUGAGAUAAAUCUCUACCUUCUGAGGAACUUUCAUGUCAUUAAUUUGGUGUGAUUGGAAAUCAGGACUGUUACUUUGAAAAAAUUAGAGUGUUUAAAGCAGGCUAACGUCUGAAUACAUUAGCAUGGAAUAAUGAAAUAGGACGGACUGAUUCUAUUUCGUUGGUUUCUAGGAUCACCGUAAUGAUUAAUAGGGAUAGUUGGG
rnacentral:rRNA from 2 species